rnacentral:rRNA from 1 species
GUGGGGAAUAUUGCACAAUGGGCGCAAGCCUGAUGCAGCCAUGCCGCGUGUGUGAAGAAGGCCUUCGGGUUGUAAAGCACUUUCAGCGGGGAGGAAGGCGGUGAGGUUAAUAACCUCAUCGAUUGACGUUACCCGCAGAAGAAGCACCGGCUAACUCCGUGCCAGCAGCCGCGGUAAUACGGAGGGUGCAAGCGUUAAUCGGAAUUACUGGGCGUAAAGCGCACGCAGGCGGUCUGUCAAGUCGGAUGUGAAAUCCCCGGGCUCAACCUGGGAACUGCAUUCGAAACUGGCAGGCUAGAGUCUUGUAGAGGGGGGUAGAAUUCCAGGUGUAGCGGUGAAAUGCGUAGAGAUCUGGAGGAAUACCGGUGGCGAAGGCGGCCCCCUGGACAAAGACUGACGCUCAGGUGCGAAAGCGUGGGGAGCAAACAGGAUUAGAAACCCGUGUAGUCC